rnacentral:rRNA from 1 species
GUGUCAGCAGCCGCGGUAAUACGUAGGGGGCAAGCGUUGUCCGGAUUCAUUGGGCGUAAAGAGCGUGUAGGCGGCCAGGUAGGUCUGGUGUGAAAACUGGAGGCUCAACCUCCAGCUGUCACUGGAAACCAUCUGGCUAGAGUCCGGAAGAGGAGAGUGGAAUUCCUGGUGUAGCGGUGAAAUGCGCAGAUAUCAGGAAGAACACCUAUGGCGAAGGCAGCUCUCUGGGACGGUACUGACGCUGAGACGCGAAAGCGUGGGGAGCGAACAGGAUUAGAAACCCGGGUAGUCC